rnacentral:rRNA from 1 species
GCACUCUUCGGAGUGAGUGGCAGACGGGUGAGUAACGCGUGGAAACGUGCCUUUCUCUACGGAAUAGCCCUUGGAAACGAGGUGUAAUACCGUAUACGCCCUUAGGGGGAAAGAUUUAUCGGAGAAAGAUCGGUCCGCGUUAGAUUAGUUUGUUGGUGGGGUAAUGGCCUACCAAGACUACGAUCUAUAGCUGAUUUGAGAGGAUGAUCAGCCACACUGGAACUGAGACACGGUCCAGACUCCUACGGGAGGCAGCAGUGGGGAAUCUUGGACAAUGGGGGAAACCCUGAUCCAGCCAUGCCGCGUGAAUGAUGAAGGCCUUAGGGUUGUAAAAUUCUUUCACCGGGGAAGAUAAUGACGGUACCCGGAGAAGAAGCUCCGGCUAACUUCGUGCCAGCAGCCGCGGUAAUACGAAGGGAGCUAGCGUUGUUCGGAAUUACUGGGCGUAAAGCGCACGUAGGCGGAUUAGUAAGUAAGAGGUGAAAUCCCAGGGCUCAACCCUGGAACUGCCUUUUAAACUGCUAGUCUAGAGGAUAGGAGAGGUCAGUGGAAUACCGAGUGUAGAGGUGAAAUUCGUAGAUAUUCGGUGGAACACCAGUGGCGAAGGCGACU